GGUGAGGGCCUCUACAUGUGGCAAGAGUCAAGAAAAGAAGCCUCUCAACAUUUGAUUGCAUGGGGAGGAAGAAGGAAGAAAGUUCUCCAAGAAAAGAAAAAUCUGCACACCCUCUUCCAAGGUAUACCUUCUCAAAUCUGAUCUACUUUUGUUGUGAUUGUGGUUGAUACCGACCAUGAGUAGUGGGCUGAAGGUGGAGUUUAAGAAGUUUGAUGGAAAAAGAAGCUUCUCGAUGUGGAAGACUAGGAUGGAGAAUUUGUUGGCCCAACUCGGAUUGGAUCUAACCUUAAAGGAAAGGUCGGAGGAUAUGUGGAUAGGCAG
rnacentral:lncRNA from 1 species